rnacentral:rRNA from 1 species
CAUGCAAGUCGAGCGGAUGAGUGGAGCUUGCUCCAUGAUUCAGCGGCGGACGGGUGAGUAAUGCCUAGGAAUCUGCCUGGUAGUGGGGGAUAACGUUUCGAAAGGAACGCUAAUACCGCAUACGUCCUACGGGAGAAAGUGGGGGAUCUUCGGACCUCACGCUAUCAGAUGAGCCUAGGUCGGAUUAGCUAGUUGGUGGGGUAAUGGCCCACCAAGGCGACGAUCCGUAACUGGUCUGAGAGGAUGAUCAGUCACACUGGAACUGAGACACGGUCCAGACUCCUACGGGAGGCAGCAGUGGGGAAUAUUGGACAAUGGGCGAAAGCCUGAUCCAGCCAUGCCGCGUGUGUGAAGAAGGUCUUCGGAUUGUAAAGCACUUUAAGUUGGGAGGAAGGGCAGUAAGUUAAUACCUUGCUGUUUUGACGUUACCAACAGAAUAAGCACCGGCUAACUUCGUGCCAGCAGCCGCGGUAAUACGAAGGGUGCAAGCGUUAAUCGGAAUUACUGGGCGUAAAGCGCGCGUAGGUGGUUCAGCAAGUUGGAUGUGAAAGCCCCGGGCUCAACCUGGGAAUUGCAUCCAAAACUACUGAGCUAGAGUACGGUAGAGGGUGGUGGAAUUUCCUGUGUAGCGGUGAAAUGCGUAGAUAUAGGAAGGAACACCAGUGGCGAAGGCGACCACCUGGACUGAUACUGACACUGAGGUGCGAAAGCGUGGGGAGCAAACAGGAUUAGAUACCCUGGUAGUCCACGCCGUAAACGAUGUCGACUAGCCGUUGGGAUCCUUGAGAUCUUAGUGGCGCAGCUAACGCGAUAAGUCGACCGCCUGGGGAGUAC